GACUGUCCGCGCUGGAGACGGGGCUCUGUGGCUCGGGGCGCUCCACUUCGGAUUUUAGUUUUGACCCAGAGGGAAAGGCAAAAGCCAGGGAGACCGGUCGCGACGCACCUGAGCCGAAGCACUUUGGCGCCUAACCUAGGAGCCACGUGUGCGGUAUCUCUGUUUAGACACCCCAGGGAGGAUGUUGGAGGAUAGCGAUGUCAUUUUAUUCAUCUCUGUAAUCUUUCAGCAUCUAGCACAAAUUCUUGUGGAUAAAAGGUGGAGUAGCUACAAAAUGGCGUCACUAAAAGAUACAGAAAGUCUGCUUGACGUGCACUGGCCUUUGUGUGAGAAAGAAACCAUUACUGUGUUAAGUCAUUGAAAUUCCGGGCUCUAUUUGUCAUGAGAACAUAGCCUAGCUUAUUCCUACCAAUACAAGAUGUUAUUUAAUAAGAUUAUAAAUCAUAAUGGCAUAAAGACCCAAUGAAACAUUGAGCUUAUGAGAAUGCUGUAAUGUGUUCCUAAGUCAAGGCUGAAAAUAUGUAUUCUCACAACCCCAAAUUGAUGUAUAACAGCCUUUUCAUGGCACGACUCUGAAAUUAAAGUAGGUGUGUGUGUAUGUAUAAACUAUACACAGUAGAUCAGUUUUAACUAAGGACAAGAGACCAAAUGUCCCAAUAUUCUCCUCAGCCUGAGUGAAAACAAAUGUGCACCUGCCAUCCAGUGGCAGCAUACUGUGACUGAGAUUGAAGCUGGCUGGCAGCUGUGAAUAUGAUCGCUGUGACCUGGUUUCAUAGAAUGUACAAAGUAUAAGAGACAUCUUUCCACUGCUUCUAGAUUUAUAUCUUGAGUACAUCCAUAUAGGCUCCUUUGGAACUAUCUGCUAUGGAAGCCUCCCAUAGAACUGUGGAGAAUGCAAAUCUACUCUCAUUUUACAAAGAAGAAAAAAGAAAAAACAACCAUGUUGGACAUUGCUGAAUGGUGUGCCUUUUAAUAACUGUGCAAUAGCCCGGAGAGGUCUUUUGUUAAAAUAAAUGACCUUUGGGGCUCCAAAAAUCUCUCCAUGGAUUCUGCAUUUAAAC
rnacentral:lncRNA from 1 species